rnacentral:rRNA from 1 species
AACGAACGCUGGCGGCAUGCCUAACACAUGCAAGUCGAACGAGAUCUUCGGGUCUAGUGGCGCACGGGUGCGUAACGCGUGGGAAUCUGCCCUUUGGUUCGGAAUAACAGUUGGAAACGACUGCUAAUACCGGAUGAUGACGGAAGUCCAAAGAUUUAUCGCCAGAGGAUGAGCCCGCGUAGGAUUAGCUAGUUGGUGUGGUAAAGGCGCACCAAGGCGACGAUCCUUAGCUGGUCUGAGAGGAUGAUCAGCCACACUGGGACUGAGACACGGCCCAGACUCCUACGGGAGGCAGCAGUGGGGAAUAUUGGACAAUGGGCGAAAGCCUGAUCCAGCAAUGCCGCGUGAGUGAUGAAGGCCUUAGGGUUGUAAAGCCCUUUUACCCGGGAUGAUAAUAACAGUACCGGGAGAAUAAGCUCCGGCUAACUCCGUGCCAGCCGCCGCGGUAA